rnacentral:rRNA from 1 species
UACGUAGGGUCCGAGCGUUGUCCGGAGUUACUGGGCGUAAAGAGUAUGUAGGCGGUUGGGUAAGUUUGGUGUGAAAUCUCCCGGCUUAACUGGGAGGGUGCGCUAAAGACUGCCUGGCUCGAGUGUGGGAGAGGAAAGCGGAAUUCCUGGUGUAGCGGUGAAAUGCGUAGAUAUCAGGAGGAACACCUGCGGUGUAGACGGCUUUCUGGACCAUAACUGACGCUGAGAUACGAAAGCGUGGGUAGCAAACAGG